CGCUGGCGGCGUGCCUAAUACAUGCAAGUCGAACGGUCUUUUCUAUGGAAGCUUGCUUCCACUGAAAAGAUAGUGGCGAACGGGUGAGUAACACGUGGGUAACCUGCCCAUAAGAGGGGGGAUAACAUCCGGAAACGGGUGCUAAUACCGCAUAGUUUUCUUGAUCGCAUGAUCGGGAAAGGAAAGACGGCCUUUGUGCUGUCGCUUAUGGAUGGACCCGCGGCGCAUUAGUUAGUUGGUGAGGUAACGGCUCACCAAGACGAUGAUACGUAGCCGACCUGAGAGGGUGAUCGGCCACAUUGGGACUGAGACACGGCCCAAACUCCUACGGGAGGCAGCAGUAGGGAAUCUUCCGCAAUGGACGAAAGUCUGACGGAGCAACGCCGCGUGAGUGAAAGAAGGUUUUCGGAUCGUAAAACUCUGUUGUCAGAGAAGAACAAGUUGGAGAGUAACUGCUCCAGCCUUGACGGUAUCUGACCAGAAAGCCACGGCUAACUACGUGCCAGCCGCCGC
rnacentral:rRNA from 1 species